AGCGAACGCUGGCGGCAGGCUUAACACAUGCAAGUCGAGCGGGCAUCCUGUUGGUGUCUGCGGCUGACGGGUGAGUAACGCGUGGGAACGUGCCCUUCGUUUCGGAAUAACUCUUGGAAACGGGAGCUAAUACCGGACACGUGCUAGAACAGAAAGCGUUAUCUGCCGAAGAAUCGGCCCGCGUCUGAUUAGGUAGUUGUUGAGGUUAUGGCUCACCAAGGCGACGAUCAGUAGCUGGUCGGAGAGGAUGAUCAGCCACACUGGGACUGGGACACGGCCCAGAAUACUACGGGAGGCAGCAGUGGGGAAUAUUGGAAAAUGGGGGGAACCCUGAUCCAGCCAUGCCGCGUGAGUGAUGACGGUCUUAGGGUUGUAAAGCUCUUUUAUCCGGCACGAUACUGACGGUACCGGAGGAAUAAGCCCCGGCUAACUUCGUG
rnacentral:rRNA from 1 species